CAUUAGAUGUCUGAAAGAAAGAAAUGGUCUCUUAAACCAAAAUAUAGUAAUUUAUCAACUACUUCUAAUGA
rnacentral:tRNA from 1 species